CAGAAUUGCAGAGAAGAAACAGCUCUACAAAGACAGAGCGAGCUCCGGGGAUCUGAAGAGCAUCUUCCUUGAAUCUUCAAUGGAUUCCUGUCAAUAAUAAGCCCAGGAGGAACGGCUUAGAAAUGAAUGAGCAUGGGGCUUCCGCUGAAGUACAAUAAGAAUAAAGGAGGGCAGGAACCACAUGAGCGAAAGAUGAUGCCUAUACAGCUGAAGAAGACUUGGGGCUUUCAGGUUUUGGUAUCCGAGUUUUGCUGUCCUCAUAAAACAAGCUGCUUUGAUCGUGAUGUUUGGAGCUGCAGUGCCCAUCUGGCAAUCACCAGGUGUCAAACCUGAAGAUCCACAGAUCCAGAAGCCUGGAUCCUUGAAGGUGUGGAGCAGCAGAGCGAAGAGUAAUCACCUACCUCUGGGCUUCUUGUUUUGGGAGAAAAGUAAACUCCUUUGGCUUAAGUUGCUAUCAGUUGAGUUUUGACACUUGCAGUCAAAUGCGUUUCUAGCCAACACUAUUA